rnacentral:rRNA from 1 species
UACAGAGGGUGCAAGCGUUACUCGGAAUUACUGGGCGUAAAGCGUGCGCAGGCGGUUUGUUAAGUCUGCUGUGAAAUCCCCGAGCUCAACUUGGGAAUUGCAGUGGAUACUGGCAAGCUAGAGUAUGGUAGAGGAAGGUGGAAUUCCCGGUGUAGCAGUGAAAUGCGUAGAGAUCGGGAGGAACACCAGUGGCGAAGGCGGCCUUCUGGACCAAUACUGACGCUCAUGCACGAAAGCGUGGGGAGCAAACAGG